ACUGGGCACGGUGGCACAUGCCUGUAAUCCCAGUGAUUUAGGAGGCUGAGGCAGGAGGAUCACAAGUUCAAGGCCAGCCUUAGCAACUUAGUGAGACCGUGCCUCAA
rnacentral:sRNA from 1 species